rnacentral:rRNA from 1 species
AACGAACGCUGGCGGCAUGCCUAACACAUGCAAGUCGAACGAGGCCUUCGGGUCUAGUGGCGCACGGGUGCGUAACGCGUGGGAACCUGCCCUUAGGUUCGGAAUAACUCCCCGAAAGGGGUGCUAAUACCGGAUAAUGUCUUCGGACCAAAGAUUUAUCGCCUUUGGAUGGGCCCGCGUUGGAUUAGCUAGUUGGUAGGGUAAAAGCCUACCAAGGCGACGAUCCAUAGCUGGUCUGAGAGGAUGAUCAGCCACACUGGGGCUGAGACACGGCCCAGACUCCUACGGGAGGCAGCAGUGGGGAAUAUUGGACAAUGGGCGAAAGCCUGAUCCAGCAAUGCCGCGUGAGUGAUGAAGGCCUUAGGGUUGUAAAGCUCUUUUACCCGGGAUGAUAAUGACAGUACCGGGAGAAUAAGCUCCGGCUAACUCCGUG